GACGAACGCUGGCGGCGUGCCUAAUACAUGCAGGUAGAACGCUGAAGAGAGGAGCUUGCUCUUCUUGGAUGAGUUGCGAACGGGUGAGUAACGCGUAGGUAACCUGCCUUGUAGCGGGGGAUAACUAUUGGAAACGAUAGCUAAUACCGCAUAACAAUGGAUGACACAUGUCAUUUAUUUGAAAGGGGCAAUUGCUCCACUACAAGAUGGACCUGCGUUGUAUUAGCUAGUAGGUGAGGUAACGGCUCACCUAGGCGACGAUACAUAGCCGACCUGAGAGGGUGAUCGGCCACACUGGGACUGAGACACGGCCCAGACUCCUACGGGAGGCAGCAGUAGGGAAUCUUCGGCAAUGGGGGCAACCCUGAACGAGCAACGCCGCGUGAGGGAAGAAGGGUUUCGGAUCGUAAAGAUCGGUUGUAAGGCAAGAAAGAGUGUGAGAGUGGAAAGUUCACACUGUGACGGUAGCUUACCAGAAAGGGACGGCUAACUACGUG
rnacentral:rRNA from 1 species